AUGUCCUUCUUCUUCCGCGCGGCGUCGCGGCCGCGUUCGUCGCAGCAGGACCUCGUGCGCUCCAUCAAGGACUCCCUCCUCGCGCUCGACACCAAGACCGGCGCCAAGGCCCUCGAAGAUGUUGAGAAAAACAUAUUCACCUUGAGACAAACACUUUCUGGUGAUGGAGAAGUUGAACCAAACCAGGAUCAUGUCUUACAGAUAGCCCUUGAAAUUUGCAAGGAGGGUGUCCUUUCUCUUUUUGUUCAGAACCUGCCUUCGCUGGGUUGGGAGGGAAGAAAGGAUCUUGCCCACUGCUGGUGCAUUUUGUUGAGGCAGAAGGUUGAUGAAAGUCACUGCUGCGUGCAGUAUAUCGAAAAUCAUGUUGAUCUUCUAGAUUUCCUUGUUGUAUGCUACAAGAACUUGGAAGUCGCAUUGAACUGUGGAAACAUGUUGCGAGAAUGCAUAAAAUAUCCCUCACUUGCAAAAUAUAUAUUGGAGUCAAAUAGCUUCGAGUUGUUUUUCCAGUAUGUUGAAUUGCCAAACUUUGAUAUUGCUUCUGAUGCUCUGAAUACGUUCAAGGAUUUGCUCACUAGACAUGAAGAUGCAGUCUCUGAGUUUCUCAUUUCCCAUUAUGAACAGUUCUUUGAACUCUACAAAAGGCUUUUAACUUCAGAUAAUUAUGUGACAAGAAGACAAUCAGUGAAGUUUCUUUCAGAGUUUCUGUUGGAGGCCCCAAAUGCUCAGAUAAUGAAGCGGUACAUUUUGGAAGUUCGUUACUUGAACAUUAUGAUGGGUCUACUAAAGGAUUCAAGCAAAAAUAUCAGGAUAUGUUCCUUUCACAUUUUUAAGGUAUUUGUUGCCAAUCCAAACAAGCCUCGUGAUAUUAUUCAAGUUUUGGUAGACAACCACAAAGAAUUAUUGAAGUUGCUCCAUGCUCUUCCUGCAAGCAAAGGUGAAGAUGAACAACUUGACGAGGAGCGAGACUUAAUUGUCAAGGAAAUCGAGAAGCUUGUGCGCUUGUCAGUAUAG
rnacentral:rRNA from 1 species